GAUGAACGCUGGCGGCGUGCCUAAUACAUGCAAGUCGAGCGAACAGACGAGGAGCUUGCUCCUCUGACGUUAGCGGCGGACGGGUGAGUAACACGUGGAUAACCUACCUAUAAGACUGGGAUAACUUCGGGAAACCGGAGCUAAUACCGGAUAAUAUAUUGAACCGCAUGGUUCAAUAGUGAAAGACGGUUUUGCUGUCACUUAUAGAUGGAUCCGCGCCGCAUUAGCUAGUUGGUAAGGUAACGGCUUACCAAGGCAACGAUGCGUAGCCGACCUGAGAGGGUGAGCGGCCACACGGGAACGGAGACACGGCCAAGACACCUAGGGGAGGAGGAAGUGGGAAUUCUUCGGAAAGGGGGAAAAGAUUGAGGAAGAACCGCCGCGUGGUUGAUGAAGUUCUUCGGAUCUAAAAACUCUGUUAUAGGGGAAAAAAAAUUGUGUAAGUAACAAGGCACGUCUUAAGGGUACCAAAUCAGAAAGCCACGGAAAACUACGUG
rnacentral:rRNA from 1 species